AUAUAACUAUUAUUAUAUAUGUAUAUGUAUGUAGUUGUGUGAGUAUAUGUGUAUGUACAUAUGCACAUAUGUUCAUGUAUAUAUGGUGACUAGGUAAUUUAUGACUCAAACCCGAUCCAAAAGUUUCCACGGGUUUGACUUCAAUUCCAUACCCAACCCAUUCACUGUUAGGUAUAUUGGGUAUGGAUUAGGUAUUCAUUUGCAGGUUGAAGUGACAGCCCA
rnacentral:lncRNA from 1 species